AUGCUCUUCCUUCUCCCCCCAUCUCCCCCACCUGCUCCUCCCUCUCUCUUCCCUCCUGCUCCUGCCUCUCUCUCCUCCUCUCCCUCCCCUCCUGAUCCUGCCUCUCUCUCCCCUCUCUCUCUCCUCCUACUCCUCCCUCUCCUCCUCCAUCUCUCCUCCACUUUCUCCCCUCCUGCUCCUCCCUCUCUCUCCUCCUGCUCCUGCCUCUCUCUCCUCCUGCUCCUGCCUCUCUCUCCUCCUGCUCCUGCCUCUCUCUCCUCCUCUCUCUCUCUCCUCCUGCUCCUGCCUCUCUCUCCUCCUCCAUCUCUCCUCCUCUCUCUCCUCCUGCUCCUGCCUCUCUCUCCUCCUGCUCCUGCCUCUCUCUCCUCCUGCUCCUGCCUCUCUCUCCUCCUCUCUCUCCUCCUGCUCCUGCCUCUCUCUCCUCCUGCUCCUGCCUCUCUCUCCUCCUGCUCCUGCCUCUCUCUCCUCUCUCUCUCUCCUCCUGCUCCUGCCUCUCUCUCCUCCUGCUCCUGCCUCUCUCUCCUCCUGCUCCUGCCUCUCUCUCCUCCUGCUCCUGCCUCUCUCUCCUCCUGCUCCUGCCUCUCUCUCCUCCUGCUCCUGCCUCUCUCUCCUCCUGCUCCUCCCUCUCUCUCCUCCUGCUCCUGCCUCUCUCUCCUCCUCCAUCUUUCCUCCUCUUUCUCCCCCUCCUGCUCCUCCCUCUCUCUCCCUUCCUGCUUCUCCCUCUCUCUCUCCCCUCUCUCCCCUCAUGCUCCUGCCUCUCUCUCCUCCUCUGAGCUCCACUCCUGCUCCUCCCUCUCUCUCCUCUCUCUCUCUCUCCUCCUCCUUCUCCCCCUCUCUCUCCUCCUCUAUCUCUCCUCCUCUUUCUCCCUUCCUGAUAACCCCUCUCUCUCCCCUUCUCCUCCUCUGAGCUCCCCUCCUGCUCCUGCCUCUUUCUCUCCUCCUCUGAGUCUCCUUCUGUUUUGUCUUUUCCUCUUCUCACUCACCCUCCCUUUUAUUCAUCUUUUCCUUCCUUUUUUUCUCAUUAUCUUCUUCAGUUCAGUUCAGUUCAGUCGCGCAGUCGUGUCCGACUCUUUGUGA
rnacentral:lncRNA from 1 species